rnacentral:rRNA from 1 species
UCAACUGUCGACUGUGGCAUAGACGCCCACAGUGGUUUUGACGGGUAACGGGGAAUCAGGGUUCGAUUCCGGAGAGGGAGCCUUAAAAACGGCUACCACAUCUAAGGAAGGCAGCAGGCACGCAAAUUACCCAAUGACCGAAGGUCGAGGUAGUGACGAAAAAUAACGAUAGAGGACUCAUCCGAGGCCCUCUAAUUGGAAUGAGUACACUUUAAAACCGUCCCCGAGGAUCUAUUGGAGGGCAAGUCUAGUGCCAGCAGCCGCGGUAAUUCCAGCUCCAAUAGCGUAUAUUAAAGUUGUUGUGGUUAAAAAGCUCGUAGUUGGAUCUCAACAGCCUUGAAGCGGUUAACUUUGUAGUUUUACUGCUUUAUAAGCUGUGCUUUUGCUGGAGGUUUAGGGGUGCUCUUGAUCGAGUGUCUCUGGAUGCCAGCAGGUUUACUUUGAAAAAAUUAGAGUGCUCAAAGCAGGCUAAAAUGCCUGAAUAUUCAUGCAUGGAAUAAUAGAAUAGGAUGUCGAUCCUAUUUUGUUGGUUUUCGGGACUCGACAUAAUGAUAAAUAGGGACAGUCGGGGGCAUUUGUAUUCAAACGACAGAGGUGAAAUUCUUGGACCGUUUGAAGACAAACUACUGCGAAAGCAUUUGCCAAGAAUGUUUUCAUUAAUCAAGAACGAAAGUUAGAGGUUCGAAGGCGAUUAGAUACCGCCCUAGUUCUAACCAUAAACGAUGCCAGCUAGCGAUCUGCCUGCGUUUUUACUGUAGACUGGGCAGGAAGCUUCCGGGAAACCAAAGCAUUUGGGUUCCAGGGGAAGUAUGGUUGCAAAGCUGAAACUUAAAGGAAUUGACGGAAGGGCACCACCAGAAGUGGAGCCUGUGGCUUAAUUUGACUCAACACGGGAAAUCUCACCAGGCCCGGACACUGGAAGGAUUGACAGAUUGAUAGCUCUUUCUUGAUUCGGUGGGUGGUGGUGCAUGCCCGUUCUU